CCUACGGGAGGCAGCAGUGAGGAAUAUUGGUCAAUGGACGAGAGUCUGAACCAGCCAAGUAGCGUGAAGGAUGACUGCCCUAUGGGUUGUAAACUUCUUUUAUAAAGGAAUAAAACGAGGCACGUGUGCCUUUUUGCAUGUACUUUAUGAAUAAGGAUCGGCUAACUCCGUGCCAGCAGCCGCGGUAAUACGGAGGAUCCGAGCGUUAUCCGGAUUUCUUGGGUUUAAAGGGAGCGUAGAUGGGUUGUUAAGUCAGUUGUGAAAGUUUGCGGCUCAACCGUAAAAUUGCAAUUGAUACUGGCAGUCUUGAGUACAGUUGAGGUAGGCGGAAUUCGUGGUGUAGCGGUGAAAUGCUUAGAUAGCACGAAGAACCCCGAUUGCGAAGGCAGCUUACUAAACUGUGACUGACAUUGAUGCUCGAAAGUGUGGGUAUCAAACAGGAUUAGAUACCCCAGUAGUC
rnacentral:rRNA from 1 species